AAACUUGCCACACAGGAUAGAAGAAGGCUGGACAAAAUGGUGUAGAAAUUAAGCAACAAUAGCAUCCUCAUAGAGAACUAUAAAAAUAAAAGGCAAAGAAAACUCCUCUUUUUCAGUCUCAUUAUACACUCAUCUACAGCAGACCAACAACGGAUUUCUUUCUCUUUUCUUUUAUUUCAUUUUUCACUUUCCAUUCUUCCUGAGGCAACUAAGGAAAAAAAACAAAAAUACCUAUUUUCUGCUGGUAACUAGCGAGAAAACUUGCAAGGGUUCAUGGAAAACCAAACUUGGACAAGGCUGAUAGGAACAAAGUUGAGAACUCCUGGGAAGUAUUCUGAUCAUCAACUUUGAUAGUUAUCUGUGCUUUAGCUGAUGAUGUGUUGAUUUUACAUUCUACAAGAUAAAUAGAUGAUUCUUCUGCUUUUUGAGCAAAGAAGAAAAACUUGAAAUUGGGCGAUUGACCACCUGAUGCAAUGCAUUGAAUGGAAUGGGAUUGCAUGUGACGGAGGAGGGCUUGAGGUGCCGUCAAUGCUGCAACUCCUUGAGGAUUUAGAGAAUGCUCCUGUGAUACAGAUAUUGGUAGUUGGCGCCAUUUUUGCUGAAAAGUGGCCGGAUCUAGGACAGCUCUGGAAUUAAGCUUCAAAGGAGGAGGUGCAGGUGCUGCUGGUAGACCAAGACCUAGCAAAUCAUCAAUGGCAAAGCUAGCCUGAGGACCUGCUACUUCAAGGUUUGAAAUCAAUGAAUCUGAUUGUGCUUGUGAAGCAGCAGCAGACACUGAUGAAGCAUCAUAUAAAGGAGCACUAUAUGCAGAACCAUUAUUACUGGCACCUCUGCUUUCUUCUUUCUCUGAAGUACUUAGAAGCAGAUCCUGAUCAUUUGCCUCAACUCUAUUUGCUCGUACAACAUCAUUUGUAG
rnacentral:misc_RNA from 1 species